GGGUUGUGAGGUUAAGCGACUAAGCGUACACGGUGGAUGCCCUGGCAGUCAGAGGCGAUGAAGGACGUGCUAAUCUGCGAUAAGCGUCGGUAAGGUGAUAUGAACCGUUAUAACCGGCGAUUUCCGAAUGGGGAAACCCAGUGUGUUUCGACACACUAUCAUUAACUGAAUCCAUAGGUUAAUGAGGCGAACCGGGGGAACUGAAACAUCUAAGUACCCCGAGGAAAAGAAAUCAACCGAGAUUCCCCCAGUAGCGGCGAGCGAACGGGGAGCAGCCCAGAGCCUGAAUCAGUGUGUGUGUUAGUGGAAGCGUCUGGAAAGGCGCGCGAUACAGGGUGACAGCCCCGUACACAAAAAUGCACAUGCUGUGAGCUCGAUGAGUAGGGCGGGACACGUGGUAUCCUGUCUGAAUAUGGGGGGACCAUCCUCCAAGGCUAAAUACUCCUGACUGACCGAUAGUGAACCAGUACCGUGAGGGAAAGGCGAAAAGAACCCCGGCGAGGGGAGUGAAAAAGAACCUGAAACCGUGUACGUACAAGCAGUGGGAGCACAGAGCAAUCUGUGUGACUGCGUACCUUUUGUAUAAUGGGUCAGCGACUUAUAUUCUGUAGCAAGGUUAACCGAAUAGGGGAGCCGAAGGGAAACCGAGUCUUAACUGGGCGUUAAGUUGCAGGGUAUAGACCCGAAACCCGGUGAUCUAGCCAUGGGCAGGUUGAAGGUUGGGUAACACUAACUGGAGGACCGAACCGACUAAUGUUGAAAAAUUAGCGGAUGACUUGUGGCUGGGGGUGAAAGGCCAAUCAAACCGGGAGAUAGCUGGUUCUCCCCGAAAGCUAUUUAGGUAGCGCCUCGUGAAUUCAUCUCCGGGGGUAGAGCACUGUUUCGGCAAGGGGGUCAUCCCGACUUACCAACCCGAUGCAAACUGCGAAUACCGGAGAAUGUUAUCACGGGAGACACACGGCGGGUGCUAACGUCCGUCGUGAAGAGGGAAACAACCCAGACCGCCAGCUAAGGUCCCAAAGUCAUGGUUAAGUGGGAAACGAUGUGGGAAGGCCCAGACAGCCAGGAUGUUGGCUUAGAAGCAGCCAUCAUUUAAAGAAAGCGUAAUAGCUCACUGGUCGAGUCGGCCUGCGCGGAAGAUGUAACGGGGCUAAACCAUGCACCGAAGCUGCGGCAGCGACGCUUAUGCGUUGUUGGGUAGGGGAGCGUUCUGUAAGCCUGUGAAGGUGUGCUGUGAGGCAUGCUGGAGGUAUCAGAAGUGCGAAUGCUGACAUAAGUAACGAUAAAGCGGGUGAAAAGCCCGCUCGCCGGAAGACCAAGGGUUCCUGUCCAACGUUAAUCGGGGCAGGGUGAGUCGACCCCUAAGGCGAGGCCGAAAGGCGUAGUCGAUGGGAAACAGGUUAAUAUUCCUGUACUUGGUGUUACUGCGAAGGGGGGACGGAGAAGGCUAUGUUGGCCGGGCGACGGUUGUCCCGGUUUAAGCGUGUAGGCUGGUUUUCCAGGCAAAUCCGGAAAAUCAAGGCUGAGGCGUGAUGACGAGGCACUACGGUGCUGAAGCAACAAAUGCCCUGCUUCCAGGAAAAGCCUCUAAGCAUCAGGUAACAUCAAAUCGUACCCCAAACCGACACAGGUGGUCAGGUAGAGAAUACCAAGGCGCUUGAGAGAACUCGGGUGAAGGAACUAGGCAAAAUGGUGCCGUAACUUCGGGAGAAGGCACGCUGAUAUGUAGGUGAAGUCCCUCGCGGAUGGAGCUGAAAUCAGUCGAAGAUACCAGCUGGCUGCAACUGUUUAUUAAAAACACAGCACUGUGCAAACACGAAAGUGGACGUAUACGGUGUGACGCCUGCCCGGUGCCGGAAGGUUAAUUGAUGGGGUUAGCGGUAACGCGAAGCUCUUGAUCGAAGCCCCGGUAAACGGCGGCCGUAACUAUAACGGUCCUAAGGUAGCGAAAUUCCUUGUCGGGUAAGUUCCGACCUGCACGAAUGGCGUAAUGAUGGCCAGGCUGUCUCCACCCGAGACUCAGUGAAAUUGAACUCGCUGUGAAGAUGCAGUGUACCCGCGGCAAGACGGAAAGACCCCGUGAACCUUUACUAUAGCUUGACACUGAACAUUGAGCCUUGAUGUGUAGGAUAGGUGGGAGGCUUUGAAGUGUGGACGCCAGUCUGCAUGGAGCCGGCCUUGAAAUACCACCCUUUAAUGUUUGAUGUUCUAACGUUGGCCCCUGAUCGGGGUUGCGGACAGUGUCUGGUGGGUAGUUUGACUGGGGCGGUCUCCUCCUAAAGAGUAACGGAGGAGCACGAAGGUUGGCUAAUCCUGGUCGGACAUCAGGAGGUUAGUGCAAUGGCAUAAGCCAGCUUGACUGCGAGCGUGACGGCGCGAGCAGGUGCGAAAGCAGGUCAUAGUGAUCCGGUGGUUCUGAAUGGAAGGGCCAUCGCUCAACGGAUAAAAGGUACUCCGGGGAUAACAGGCUGAUACCGCCCAAGAGUUCAUAUCGACGGCGGUGUUUGGCACCUCGAUGUCGGCUCAUCACAUCCUGGGGCUGAAGUAGGUCCCAAGGGUAUGGCUGUUCGCCAUUUAAAGUGGUACGCGAGCUGGGUUUAGAACGUCGUGAGACAGUUCGGUCCCUAUCUGCCGUGGGCGCUGGAGAACUGAGGGGGGCUGCUCCUAGUACGAGAGGACCGGAGUGGACGCAUCACUGGUGUUCGGGUUGUCAUGCCAAUGGCACUGCCCGGUAGCUAAAUGCGGAAGAGAUAAGUGCUGAAAGCAUCUAAGCACGAAACUUGCC
rnacentral:rRNA from 1 species